rnacentral:lncRNA from 1 species
GGGGGGAAUACAAGUAAACACAUGACUAAAAUUGUGUGAAACAUUGAUCUUUUGCUAUACUUUUCAUACUGUUGUUUUAACUAUCUUAUGAAGUUUUUAUCAAUGCAAAACACCUCACAACACAACUUUACCCUCUUGGGAUACAAUAUGUUUUAUAAAUAGAAAUAUGUUUUAUUUAUACGUUUGAAUACUACAUCAUAUCAAGGUUAACCAUUUCAAAUAUAACAUGAUGCUUUUAAAAGAAAACUCAACUCAUCAUCACGUUUUUGUAACACGGUAGAAAACGAAAUCAUUUCAUACAAACGAUUUUCAUCAUAUUACUCGUGAACUUGUUGUUAGCAAUCAUGUGAUGUCAUAUGGCUUUGUUUGUACCAAACGAAAGUCCCCACCUAUAACCAGAGUCUCUAGGAGGGAGAGCGUGACAAGUGUGUAUAGAUCUAUACGGGGCUGACAACUCCGCACCCUGACUGUUAGCUACAGUCCGUCAUUAGGGGUGACAAAUGUCAACAUUAGGUACUGCGUCUAGUAUGGUUAUGAGGAACUCACAACACGCGGAAACAAUGACUCAUGCGCGUAGUAAUACUUAACUCAAUCAUGCUUGGGGGGUAAUAACUAUAUUCUAGGGUAUUAUCGGCAUGAUCAAAAACUCAGGACAAACACUUCCACAACUAGUUUUACUUAACAAUAAGACUGCAUUUCACUUUUAGGAAAAUAAGGGAUUUCUUGGUUCAAAUACAUAUAGUACAUACAACGAUCUUUCAAACUCAUUUCAUACAUCAAAUAGAAAAUAAGGGAUUUUCUGGAAAACAUACACGCACUUUUGAAUGGCAUACAUUUUCUCAAAACACCACUUAUAAACUCACCAACUUAAAUGUUGACACUUUUUCUUUGAAAUAACUUGUAUUCUCAGGAAACCGCUAGACCAGGUAGCAACUACUUUUGAAGACUAACGCGCUGGCGUUAGUAACAUAUUUUGGAUCACCAUAUUGUAUUUGAUUUCUUUUGCAAACAUGUAACACAUACAAUCAUGUAAACUUUUCAAAUAUAUUUAUAUUAUGGUGGUGUGUACUUUCUUUACUAUUCAAUUGUUAUGAUAUUUGACAUGACGUCCUCCGCCCCCGAACGUUUCCGCCGUUCUGGUUUGGGGGUGUGACAGAUUGGUAUCAGAGCAUUGUUUAUAGUGAAUUAAGUAUAUCAAAACCAUUUUGGUAUACGACUAUAAACACAACUGGGCAAAAACACUCUGAGUAAGAGUCAUACUUUUAAAAUUAAAUUUAUUUAGUUUUGUAAAGUAGGCAUGCAUUCAUUUCAUAUUAAUAACAUGGUCAGUAUCAUAACUAAAACAAUAUAGAAGUAUUAUAAAUAAGUUGUGCAGUGCAGGUAUGCCUUGGGACAUGUAAUCGGAACUGGGAAGAAUAUAGCCUGAUCAACUAUAUUUGUCCAAGAGCCGACUAACGUAUGCCAAGGAGUGUCUGCAAUGGACAACAAAUUUAAAACUUACCAAACUUAUAAACUUUAGAAUCAAACAUAACAUUCAGAAUACUAUAGGAGUAUUUUAUGAAUACGAUAGUUUAACGUUGAUGUCAACCUUAUGUGCCUUAGUUCUAGACAAUCCUUAUAUCCCUAUUCUCGUAUAAACACAAUGGCUGGAUUUCCACCUAGCAGGAGACCCCUACUACCCAUACCAGUUCCAUGUUUUAUAAAAGACCCUUUCACUUUAACCAUCGACUAACGAAACUCGAUCGAUUUAUCACGACAAACCCGACACUAACCCCAAUUCAUUUCUAUUUUCAAAACCCCAAGGUACUCAUGUGAGGAGUACUAUAUCUUUACAACGUUCCCGUAGUAUCCCCCAACAUAUCAUUUAGAAAUACCACACAUACAACAAGUCAAAUCCAAGCUCAGAAACUAGGAGUGAAUUCAACCAUGAACUUCAGAACGUAGCUGCCCUAAUGCAUCUAGUGAAUAUGCUAACAUUUAGAAGAACAUAAGUAAAUAAACCCAAAACCACACGAUCCCGAUCGAUCGAAGUGAUAGGCGGAGUAAUGAAGGUCCGCUGAAACACGCACGUUAGGAUCUAGAUUCAUAAAGGAACAAGAGGAACAAAUCGACCAGAAGCACUCACGCCUGCCCGCAAGAAUUGGAGUCCCAGUCAAAAUGCGAAUUUCGGGACGAAAUUCUCUCUAACGGGGGGAUAAUGUAACAACAGCAAAAUUCAGGUCAAAAUUUAAACUUUUAUAAAACCGUAAUUGAGUAUACUAAGUGGUAAAUAUCGUAACAAGGUUUUCAUACAUAUAAAGAACACAAAAAUCCGAGUUAUAACGAGGAAGUUAUAACCAUUCUAAAAUUCCCGACAAAACCGGCAACACCGAUUAAACGAAAAACGCGAAGUUUAAUACAAUAGUUUUUAGCCUUAAGUAUCUAAAUAAAAGUUAUAGAUAACAUCAAACCGUGAGCGUACAUAAAAAGAACGUCCAAAUCUGACUUCGUAUGAGGAAGUUAUGAUUUUUCCAAGGUUCGGGUAUAGCAGUAGACAGCUAAAAACUCGAAAUAGAGCUCGAGAUACUUUUGACCAAAACAACCUAAAUGAGAAUCGAAGGUCUCAACAUUAGUAGCGCAACGGCGAAAAGUCUGACGAAAACGGACAUCGGAUGAAGAAGUUAUGGAAUUUUAACGGACUUUUCGUGUUCCGGCCCGUUAAAAAUAAAUAAUUAAAAAUAAAUUCAGAAUUUGCUGAUGAAGUCUAAACGAGAGUUGUAGAUCAUAUUUUUAGCUACGCGUGCAUAUAAAGAACGUCGAAAACGGAGCUCGUAUGCGAAAGUUAUGGAUUUUACAAGUUCGGGGUCCAAAAUCUGAGGCUGUCAGGCCCCCACGACGUGGCACAGCUUGGCCGCGACCCGGCAAGCGACUGAGGGCGUCCAAUCAACGGAAGGGGAUAGGGCUUGCUCCCCACGACGUGGCCAACCCUAGCCACGAUGUGGCACUCAAAAAUACCCCCUAUAAAUAGAACUCUUGGGGUGCCGGGUUUAGGUGCUCCAUUCUUCCCUCUCUCGUGAUGAAACUCUGCGGUUAAGCUACAGAAGCCCUCCCGAAGCCCCGGUUUUCACACUCAAGUUCCAAAGGAAGGUUCUACUCUCCCGAGAUUUCCGAGAUUCUCAAGAAUCCCGAGGAAAAUCGACUUUCACGAGCCGAAGUUCUGCUCCAUUUUCUUCUCGUUUUCCCCAAUCAAUCAAGUGAGUUCAUACCCCUAUAAUCUACACUUUCAAAUGUUUUGUAAAUGCUUUUAUACACUUUUAAGGGGGGGAAUACAAGUAAACACACGACUAAAAUCGUGUGAAACAUCGAUCUUUUGCUAUACUUUUCAUACUGUUGUUUUAACUAUCUUAUGAAGUCAUUAUCAUGCAAAAUACCUCACAACACAACUUUACCCUCUUGGGAUAAAAGAUGUUUAUAAAUAGAAAUAUGUUUUAUUUAUACGUAUACAUACAAAUACAUUAUAUCAAGGGUAACCAUCUUUGCUAAACCAUUUUAUGCAUUCAAAGAACUUAUGAUUUAUGCUUUGUUGGACAUUGUGAAAAAGGAUAAACUUUACAUACAAAACUACUACUUUAAUACAGACUUAGUUGAGAAUCCGUGAGACGUGUACAUCUUCAAAUACUACCUUUUGCUAAAAGGUAUCGCUACAAGUCCUGUCUAUAACCAGAGUCUCCCGUUCGGAGAACGUGUCAAAUGUGUAUAGAUCUAUACGGGAAGUCAUGAUCCCGCGCCCUGACUGUUAGCUACAGUCCGUCUUUUGGGGUGACAGUUGUCAUAACGCUACGACGCCUGAAGAACGUCGCUACAGGCAUAUUAUGUUUAGUAUGGUUAUAAAACUCACCGGAUAUACAAUUAUUAUGGUAUUAUGUUUUUAUGAAUGAGUAGCUAUUAAAACUAUUCUUCAUCUAACAAGUGCGAUCUUCGUAUAGCUUUAUUAUAUAAAACUAUGCCACAACUUUUAAGCACGUCGGUUGCUUGCGAUUUUCGGUCUUAGAGACUGCCAGUUAUGUUAGGAAAAUAAGGGUUUUUCCUGUAUACAAACCAAACAACUAUUAGGAAAAUAAGGGAUUUUCUUGGUUCAACUAGCUACAUUUUUCAACACAAAUACUCUCAUGCAUUUCAUACUUUUAUAAGAAAAUAAGGGAUUUUCUUGGAAAAAUAUACACUCAUUUUGGAAUGGCAUUCAAUGUUUCUAAAUCACUUAUGAACUCACCAACUUAAUUGUUGACACUUUUUCCUUGAAAUAACUUGUAUUCUCAGGGAACCGUUAAGCAGGUUUGGAAAUCAACUUUUGAGGAUUAACGUGCUGACGUUAAUUACUUCUUUUGAAAAAUGUUUAUGUAUUUAUCUGUUGAACAUGUAACGAAUACAAUUAUGUAAACAUUUUGGAAACCUUAAUAUGUAUGGUGGUGUGUACUUUCCUUUCUAUGAACUGUUAUGAUACUGAAUAUGACGUCCUCCGCCCCUGAACGUUUCCGCCGUUCUGGUUUGGGUGUGUGAUAGAUUGGUAUCAGAGCAUUGUUUAUAGUGAACUAAGUAUAUCAAAACCAUUUUUGAUAUACAACUAUAAACACAACUGGGCAAAAACACUCUGAGUAAGAGUCAUACUUUUAAAAUUAAAUUUAUUUAGUUUUGUAAAGUAGGCAUGCAUUCAUUUCAUAUUAAUAACAUGGUCGGUAUCAUAACUAAAACAAUAUAGAAGUAUUAUAAAUAAGUUGCGCAGUGCAGGUAUGCCUUGGGACAUGUAAUCGGAACUGGGAAGAAUAUAGCCUGAUCAACUAUAUUUGUCCAAGAGCCGACUAACGUAUGCCAAGGAGUGUCUGCAAUGGACAACAAAUUUAAAACUUACCAAACUUAUAAACUUUAGAAUCAAACAUAACAUUUAGAAUACUAUAGGAAUAUUUUAUGAAUACGAUAGUUUAACGUUGAGGUCAACCUUGUGUGCCUUAGUUCUAGACAAUCCUUAUCUCCUUAUUCUCGUACAAACACAAUGGCUGGAUUUCCACCUAGCAGGAGACCCCUACUACCCAUACCAGUAGACCCUUUCACUUUAACCAUCGACUAACGAAACUCGAUCGAUUUAUCACGACAAACCCGACACUAAACCCAAUUGGUUUCAAGUUUCAAAACCCCGAGGUACUCAUGUGAGGAGUACUAUAUCUUUACAACCUUCCCGUAGUAUCCCCCAACAGAUCAUUUAGAAAUACCACACAUACAACGAGUCAAAUCCAAGCUCAGAAACUAGGAGUGAAUUCAACCAUGAACUUCAAAACGUAGCUGCCCUAAUGCAUCGAGUGAAUAUUCUAACAUUUAGAAGAACAUAAGUAAAUAAACCCAAAACCACACGAUCCCGAUCGGUCGAAGUGAUAGGCGGAGUAAUGAAGGUCCGCUGAAACACGCACAUUAGGAUCUAGAUUCAUAAAGGAACAAGAGGAACAAAUCGACCAGAAGCACUCUCGCCUGCCCGCAAGAAUUGGAGUCCCAGUCAAAAUGCGAAUUUCGGGACGAAAUUCUCUCUAACGGGGGGAUAAUGUAACAACAGCAAAAUUCAGGUCAAAAUUUAAACUUUUAUAAAACCGUAAUUGAGUAUACUAAGUGGUAAAUAUCGUAACAAGGUUUUCAUACAUAUAAAGAACACAAAAAUCCGAGUUAUAACGAGGAAGUUAUAACCAUUCUAAAAUUCCCGACAAAACCGGCAACACCGAUUAAACGAAAAACGCGAAGUUUAAUACAAUAGUUUUUAGCCUUAAGUAUCUAAAUAAAAGUUAUAGAUAACAUCAAACCGUGAGCGUACAUAAAAAGAACGUCCAAAUCUGACUUCGUAUGAGGAAGUUAUGAUUUUUCCAAGGUUCGGGUAUAGCAGUAGACAGCUAAAAACUCGAAAUAGAGCUCGAGAUACUUUUGACCAAAACAACCUAAAUGAGAAUCGAAGGUCUCAACAUUAGUAGCGCAACGGCGAAAAGUCUGACGAAAACGGACAUCGGAUGAAGAAGUUAUGGAAUUUUAACGGACUUUUCGUGUUCCGGCCCGUUAAAAAUAAAUAAUUAAAAAUAAAUUCAGAAUUUGCUGAUGAAGUCUAAACGAGAGUUGUAGAUCAUAUUUUUAGCUACGCGUGCAUAUAAAGAACGUCGAAAACGGAGCUCGUAUGCGAAAGUUAUGGAUUUUACAAGUUCGGGGUCCAAAAUCUGAGGCUGUCAGGCCCCCACGACGUGGCACAGCUUGGCCGCGACCCGGCAAGCGACUGAGGGCGUCCAAUCAACGGAAGGGGAUAGGGCUUGCUCCCCACGACGUGGCCAACCCUAGCCACGAUGUGGCACUCAAAAAUACCCCCUAUAAAUAGAACUCUUGGGGUGCCGGGUUUAGGUGCUCCAUUCUUCCCUCUCUCGUGAUGAAACUCUGCGGUUAAGCUACAGAAGCCCUCCCGAAGCCCCGGUUUUCACACUCAAGUUCCAAAGGAAGGUUCUACUCUCCCGAGAUUUCCGAGAUUCUCAAGAAUCCCGAGGAAAAUCGACUUUCACGAGCCGAAGUUCUGCUCCAUUUUCUUCUCGUUUUCCCCAAUCAAUCAAGUGAGUUCAUACCCCUAUAAUCUACACUUUCAAAUGUUUUGUAAAUGCUUUUAUACACUUUUAAGGGGGGGAAUACAAGUAAACACACGACUAAAAUCGUGUGAAACAUCGAUCUUUUGCUAUACUUUUCAUACUGUUGUUUUAACUAUCUUAUGAAGUC